rnacentral:ncRNA from 10 species
GUACUGAAACGCAUGGUGGGGAAUAAAUGUGAAAUUCAUUUGCUGUUCCUGCAACCGUAAAGUCGGAGCGCCACCCAGUAUAGUCCGCUGUUGAACGAAGGCCAGGAAAAGUCUAGUUCUGCAAUUAAAUU